AUUGAACGCUAGCGGGAUGCUUUACACAUGCAAGUCGAACGGCAGCACGAAAAGAGCUUGCUCUUUUUGGUGGCGAGUGGCGAACGGGUGAGUAAUGUAUCGGAACGUACCCAGUAGCGGGGGAUAACUACGCGAAAGCGUGGCUAAUACCGCAUACGCCCUACGGGGGAAAGGGGGGGAGCGCAAGAGCUCUCACUAUUGGAGCGGCCGAUAUCGGAUUAGCUAGUUGGGGGGGUAAAGGCACAGCAAGGCAACGAUCCGUAGCUGAUUUGAGAGGACGACCAGCCACACUGGGACUGAGACACGGCCCAGACUCCUACGGGAGGCAGCAGUGGGGAAUUUUCGACAAUGGGGGAAACCCUGAUCCAGCCAUCCCGCGUGUGCGAUGAAGGCCUUCGGGUUGUAAAGCACUUUUGGCAGGGAAGAAACGGCGCUGACUAAUACUUGGCGAAACUGACGGUACCUGCAGAAUAAGCACCGGCUAACUACGUG
rnacentral:rRNA from 1 species